UACUGUGGAUAUACGACCCAGAUACAGACGCAGUGCAAUCGGGAUAAACUGAAUAUCAUUAUUUAUCUAGAUAACAACACCGACUCACUACACUUAAUUUUUUUAUCAUGAACGGUAUUUCUAAAUUGAAUGCGAUUACAAUACACUAUUGGACAUAAAGAAAUAUACAUAAUUAAGACCAUGAAACGGAUUGUUCUUUGCGUAUGCGUUGGAGUAAUACUAUUUCAGCUGGUAUUUAUGUGCACGCUUCAUUACUUUUAUAGCGGCGCGAUAACAAGAAUUGUACCCGAAACGUUGCGAAAUAGUACGACAUCACCCAGAGAGUGUUGGCCAACUACAACGUUUUGUGGAGAUAUACUUAGCGAACCAUCUUGGAUUGCUAUAGAUCAUCGGAAUUCUAAAUUUGAAUUCUCGGCGUUCUACGACCCAGUGUCCAACAUAAUAAUCAUCGUGGGUCUGAACUCAAGAUUUAACGGAGGUGUAUGUCAGAUAUGGUAUACGUCAGAUAACAUGACAUUUCUUGCAAAAGAAGAAAGUGGCAUUGAAUUGUACAGGACACUACCCGAAACGCAUGGGCGGAGAUACUCUGCUGUCUUAUAUCGAUGCACGUCGAAAUCGAAAAAGAAGCCUGCUUUUAUAUCUUUCGUUGAAACAGACCGUUUCAUUUCCAAAGGUCUUCUUGUUAAAUCCAUAGAAAUACCAAAACGAUACAAACAUCGCUUUACCGUUUGUCUAAUGCCUCUACACAACAAUUUUAAUGAUUCGUAUGCUCUUGUGCAGUGAAUUGAACUUAACCUUAUUCUUGGCGCAGACAAAUUUCGUGUAUAUAAUCAUUCUUCGUCUCAAAGUAUUAAGACUAUUUUAGAUAUGUACUCUGGCAGAAACAUAACUGAGGUUGUUCAGUGGUCUAUUCCAGUGACGGACGUGCAUUAUUUUGGACAGGUUGCGGCACUGCAAGACUGCCUGUAUCAAAACAAAGCGGACUCAGAAUUUAUCGUAAAUUUAGAUUUGGAUGAAUAUAUUGUCCCAAGGGUAGAAAAUAUCGACACAUGGCCAGAUCUCAUUGCAAACUCGCCGGCUGAGGCUUUUCUAUUCCGCAAUACAUUUUUUGUGACAAAUUCACGGGAACACAAUUAUUCAGAGAAGGCAAUAGCACACAAAUUACGACUUUCAACACUUCUGAUGACAAGGCAUGAACCUAAAAUCUGGUCUCAUACACGAAGAUCAAAAUACAUCGCACGGACUUCGAAGGCGAGGUCUCUGAUGAUCCACGACGUGCCAUGGGACGCCAUUGGAGUACAAGCAGAGCGCGUGCAGUCCGAUCGAGCAAUGGUAUUCCACUUCCAACAUGCGGCUAGUGAGCCAAACAAUGGGACGACGUAUAUUAUAGAUGAAACUGUCCGAAAGAAAUAUGGGGAAAUGUUAAUAAGAAAUGUUCAGCGUGCUUGGAAUAGAAUACUACGCGGGUGAUCGGAGGUUUUAACUAUUCGAUGCAUUUCUUAUCACGUUCGGUAUGAACACACAAACUCAUUGCGUGUGUUAAUCUAAAGUGAACAUUAAUAGUUGGAUGCAAAUGGUUUUUGGAUUUAAUCUGUAAGUAUUCUAGUUAAACUUUGAAGUUCAUUUCUCGAGAGAUGAAGUGUGCUAAAUAUGUUAAAAAAUAGUACAUGAUUUAAUACAGGCAUCUCCGUCGACUUCAUCAACCGGAAAUUUCAAAUCAUUAAAUACCUCGGCAUUGAAAAUUUCUGAUCAUUUUAGACCUGGGUAGUGUGUGAUCAUUUUAGAACUUGUAAUGUGCCAAACAUAUUUAUUAUAAUAAGCUCGAUUUAAUCAAACGCUUUUUAUGUUUAAGGUUAAAUGCAACCCUUUAAAUUCCGUUCCUUUGAUUGAAUCAGUAAUGGGUAUAUGGAGGAGGUCUGAAAUAUUCUCCACGAGAAAGAAUUGAAACCGUGACCUCCAAAUUGCUACGCGGACACCAUACCAACUAUUUUACGUAGACCUAAUCAUCUGAUUGCAUAGCUGAACUAUUCGUGUAAUAUCGUUAACUGAUACAUAAUAGUAACGCUAAAUUCAGAUUGCAAGCGGCUAUUUAACAUAGAAGAAGUUAAGGUAAAAGAGACCUUUGAUUAUAAGUCAUGUUUCUUCGUUUUGGCAGUAAACGUCGUUGACCAUGGUCAAAUAAGAUAGGAUUCUACCACUCGAUGUAUCAGUGUUCAUCACACUAGCAUUUGCAAAACUUACCUUUAACAUGUUUACAUGGAAAUGAACACACAACUGCAUUUUUUCCUGAGUGAUCAGCGUAACAAUUUAGUCAAAGCGUAAUUGGAUAUUGAAUCUUUGUUUUCUUUGACGCUGACCUUCACCUUGGAAUAUUGUACCUACUUAUCUAUAUAUCUUCCGUUGCUACCAAGUAUAUGCGGCAUACCUAAAAACACGCAGAAUGAGAAUACAUUCUCGGUUUAAAAAGCUUGCAUACAAUUGUUUACGAAACAACUAUCAACCAUUAAGUAACACUCAUUAUAUAACAUGAUAAGUUGAUUAAAAAGUGUUCAUAUGAAAGUUCAUACUUCAAAGUUUAUAAAAUAAACAUUUAAAUACCAGUUUAGUUAAUUACCCGUUUUCCGAGAACUUUCUGUCGAUAAGAAAAUAACACAACACAUUAAAAUCGUAUCUUGAAUACUUAAUAUAGGAAAACUUGGGAGUUGUGUUUGCUUGUAUUGGUUGAUUGGUAUUUGCCUACACAAACAGAUGUUCAAUCCUACAACAGGCAACUGGCUCUCAUCUGUCAUGGGCUAGCUCAUUUACCCGUGAUAUGAAUAGAUCUUCAAAGGCCAGUAACUUGCAGCUGCCCUACUUAAAUCAGAGGUAUUGAUCAUUGCCGUAGAGUUAUUAAAACUCCCCACACCCAUAAGAUGGCCCGGGACGGGUUUAAAUCCGCAAAAGUCAGAUUUUCAGUGCUCUGACAAAUGGUCUACCAGCCGGCUCAAAAUAUAUUAAAUGUGCAUGCAUGUAACAUAACGAUUGAAUAAAUGCUUAUUCAACACGUUGCUAUCAAAAUGUGUGUAUACCUACAACAUUUUACACUCUAACAGUUUAAUUCCGAAAGAAGCAUAUAAUUAAUAUUGAUUAUAUUUCGUAUAGGGAAAGCCAACGUGAUUUGUUUUCUUAAAAUUAUCAACGACAUUCGGCUGUUUAACAAGAAAAAAAGUAACUUUUUCCGGAACAUUUAAUCCCAAAUUUCCAAAAAUAUCGCUAAAUUGUCCCGCUUAAAUCAUUAUAAAAAUGCAGAGGAGCGAAACUCCUGUAAACCUGCAGGACAUGCAUAACAAUGUCUCUCUUUUUUUGCAGAUUGCAAAAUGACUGUUACAUUCGAUUUGAUUUGUAAAAACAACACCAUACUACAAUAUAAUUACGAUUAUUGACCAAUCACAACAUGUGUCACAAUUUAUCUAGUUUGUUUUAAACACACAUCCCAUGAUAAUGAAAUUAGGUAAAGAGUAAUUUUAGUCGGGAAUACACAGGCACAUUUACCCUGACCGAUCUAAGCAACUAUUUGUCGGUUGCCGUUGUGCUUAUUAAUGUUUCCUUAUAGAUUAAGAAUUUUUUUCGAACGAAACACGAUAUUGAAUCUACCCCUAUAUGAUUCUCUGCGCGUGUUUACCACAAAGUAAAGUAAUAGGACAGAUAACCACUGUCCCAAAGAAUGGCCGCUACGAUUUAUGUGUGUUCGUGAUGAAAAUUACGUAUAAAAUUCAUUAUUGAUAAAACAGAAAAAGCAAUAUUAUGAAAGUUACCACUUUUCAGCAUUGUGUGAUAAUAUUAUGAUCGUAAUUAACAAUUUUUUAGUUACUAAAUAUGUAAACCACGUAGUGGACAAUAGCCCAUUUGUUGUUGUAUCUUUCGAGAAGAAACUAACAAUCUUAAGUCACGCUUUCAAAAUAUGUGUACAUACGCUUGACUUUAAUAAAUACUUAAGAUUUAAUGUGUUAACAACUAUACGAAAUUAAGAAUGAUCAGGGCAUUGUUUACAAAAACAACAUCAGGGCUUCUGGGUUAAUGAUAAACAGUCAGCCAGCAUCUGCUGUGCAAGUGAAAGCUGUCAUUAACACAGCACGAUUUGCAAAAAAUGUAAACCACACUUCCUUUAGUGAUCAUAGUCUAAUAUUUUGUACUAGGAAAGUUAGUAAAAUUCCUAUUAGUUCUCAUAACAAUGUUACUUUAAGAUCUUUAAAAAAUUAUAACACAGAAGAUUUUCAGGCAAGUCUUUUAGCCAUUGACUGGACUCCAGUUCUGUUAUGUGAUAGUGUUAAUGAAGCUUGGUGUAUUUUUAAACAUCUAUUUUUAUCUGUGAUAGACAACAUAGUUCCUGUAAAACAGACUAGAAUUAAGCAGAAAACAGAACCUUGGAUAGACUCAGUCAUUCUCAGUGCUAUGAAUGAAAGAGACAAGGCAUUUUACAAUUAUAAAACGGAUAUAAGUGUAGAUAAUUAUAACAUAUUUAAGACUCUUAGAAAUACAGUUCAGUUACUUGUUCACAAUGCUAAAAAAAAAUUAUUUAAAAAUGUACUUGAUCAAAAUAAAGAAGAUUCAUCAUCCUUAUGGAAAACUCUUAAAAAUCUUGGUUUGCCUUCCAAGAAAGGUUCAGCAAUAUCUGGUUCCAAUAUUUCGUUAAACAUUGAUAAUAAUAUUUGUUUUGAAAAGAAUCUUAUUGCUGAAACAUUUAAUGAAUUCUAUACAACUAUUGCAUGUAAACUUGUUGCAAAAUUACCUGAAAGUGUACACAAAUUUGGUGUUAAUUUUGUUAAUUAUGUUUAUGCAAAUAAGGGUGUUUAUGCUUAAAGUUAUUCUUUUUUCAUUGUAACUGAGAGUAAAGUUCUUAAAUAUUUAACUUCACUUGGUACAAAGAAUGCUACUGGCUUAGAUGGCAUACCUUCGCGUUUUGUCAAGACGGGUCCUCUGUUAGUGUUAGUCCCUUAACUCACAUCAUUAGUUUGUCCCUCAUACAAGGUCAAGUCCCCGAUGAUCUUAAGACGGCAAGAGUUGUUCCCCUCUAUAAAAAGGAUGACAAAUUGUCUGUAGGUAAUUACCGGUCUGUGUCCAUAACAUGUUAUUUCUAAAUCCUUGAAAAGGUAGUUUAUGACCAGGUUAAAUCUUAUUUUAAAGAUAAUAAAUUAUUGUAUAAACUUCAGUCAGGUUUUAUAAGUGGCUUCUCCACUAAUACUUGUUUAUUUCACCUAACAUAUUUUAUCAGGUAUGAACAUGAUAAAGUUAAUAUUGUUGGCAUGGUUAUGUUAGAUUUACAGAAGGCGAUUGAUACAGUCGACCACUCAAUUCUUCUCAUAAAACUUGUCUGAUAGAAACCGGCUUGUUGAUGUUUCCGGUACCUUUUCUUUUAAGGCCAGUAUAACCUGUGGUGUACCCCAAGGCCCAAUCCUUGGACCCCUUCCUUUUCUAGUUUACGUGAAUGAUAUGUCAGCUGUGGUUAAAAAUAAAUUGUUAUUAUAUGCUGAUGAUUGUGGAAUCCUUGUUUCUGGUAAAAGUGUACUUGAUGUUGAAAAGGCACUAACAGAUGAUAUGAACUUGGUUAGCCAAUGGUUGAUCGACAAUAAGUUGUCAUUGCACUUAGGUAAAACUGAGUGAAUUGUGUUUUGGUCUAAGCAAAAACUUAUGUCAUAAUCUAGCAUUGAUAUAUCUUGUAAUGGUACACCCAUUUCUUCUACAUCAUCCGUUAAGUAUCUUAGAAUUACCCUUGACCAAAAUCUGUCUUUCUGCUCAAUGGAUGAGUCUCUUUUGAAAAAGGCCAAUUCUAGGUUAAAAUUCCUUUAUCGUGAGAAAGAGUUCCUUACUUUGCAUACGAAUAAACUUCUUGUAAUGUCACUGAUCCAGUGUCAUUAUGAUUAUGCUUGUUCUGUUUAGUACAAUAGUAUAACUCAGUCUUUAAGAAAUAAGUUACAAACCUGUCAAAAUAAGAUAAUUAGGUUUGUUGUUGACCUUGAUUCUAUAGUUCAUAUUGACCAAUCUCACUGUAUGUCCCUCAACUGGCUACCAGUUCACAUGAGAGUAAAUCAAAUACUGGUAUGUCAUGUCUUCAAAAUAAGAAAUGGCCUUUUUCCAGAUUACUUGAGUGAACACUUUGUUUCCCAAGAUUCUAUGCAUAAUAAUAUCACUAGGAUUAGUAAAAAGGGUGGGUAUUGUUUAUCCAAGGUCAAAUGUCAUGGUUCCAAAUCCUUUUUUUUAAUAGCAUUAAACUCUGGAACUCUUUACCUGAGUCACUCACAGAGGUCAACAGGUUAGAAGGCUUUAAAGUUGCCAUUAAAAGUAAUUUAAUGAAUAAUAUUUACAUUUUUAUAUAUGUGUAUCUUUUCACUUUUAAUAAGCAGAUAUUAACUUCGGCUUAGGUUUUUUUACUUUUAAUAAUUAUUAGUUCAUACUUCAUAACAUACAUUUUAGCAAUAUAUUUAAUUUAGAUACUUCAUGAUACCUCAUUUUAUCAAAUUACAACUGUCAAAAUAUCUAUACGUUGCAAUAAGUGAUAACAUUAUCAAUUGAUCUUAGUCUCCAACUCCUGUCAUAUUUUCUGAACACUACUGUGAUAAUUAGUUUGAUCUCUUUUGAACGGUGAUAUAUAUUUUUUAUUUCAUUAAAUAUUUUUUUUACUAUGAACAUAGUUAUGUUUAAGGCCAACAUAGAAAUGUUUAUGGUCUGCCUCUUUUUGUCAUGCCACCAAUAAUAAGGACCACAAUUGAAAUAAGGGAUUGUUCAUUGUGUGUUAUCCUUGGUUUGGUGAGCAUACCAUAGUUUAUUGUACAUGAUAUAGUUUUAAUAAUUGCUUAUUAUUUUAUUUUAUUCUAUGUUAUGUUGUGAACUGUGUAUAUGCGUCCUAUGCCGAAAUAAAUCUAUCCAUCUA